rnacentral:rRNA from 1 species
CCUACGGGAGGCAGCAGUAGGGAAUCUUUCACAAUGGGCGAAAGCCUGAUGGAGCAACGCCGCGUGCAGGAUGAAGGCCUUCGGGUUGUAAACUGCUUUUAUAAGCGAGAAAUAUGAUGGUAACUUAUGAAUAAGGAUCGGCUAACUACGUGCCAGCAGCCGCGGUCAUACGUAGGAUCCGAGCAUUAUCCGGAGUGACUGGGUGUAAAGAGUUGCGUAGGUGGCAUAAUAAGUAGCUAGUGAAAUCGGGUGGCUCAACCAUUCAGACUAUUAGCUAAACUGUUAAGCUCGAGACCGUUAGGGGUAACUGGAAUGUCUAGUGUAGGAGUGAAAUCCGUAGAUAUUAGAAGGAACACCAAUAGCGUAGGCAGGUUACUGGGACGGUUCUGACACUAAGGCACGAAAGCGUAGGGAGCAAACGGGAUUAGAUACCCCUGUAGUC